rnacentral:tRNA from 5 species
GUCCCCUUCGUCUAGUGGUUUAGGACACCGCCCUUUCACGGCGGCAACACGGGUUCGAAUCCCGUAGGGGACGCCA